rnacentral:misc_RNA from 1 species
AGAUAUACUUAGGUCCUCACGGGGCUCCGCCUUCUCAGUCUAAGCAGCAGGAGCUCAGCGUGGCCAAUCGUAAGCAACGUCUCAAGCACAAGCUGCAGGAAGCCGAUCGUCGUUUUUCUGGGACUGGUCGUGAAAAUAAGGUGGAAAAUCUGCAAGAGCUUGUGGGGAAUAAGGUCAGCUCUGCUUCCAGUAUGGCGAGGAGCUCCCCCCGAGAUUGGCU